rnacentral:rRNA from 1 species
UACGUAGGGUACAAGCAUUAAUCGGAAUUAUUGGGCGUAAAGGGCGCGUAGGCGGAAGCGUAAGUCAGAUGUGAAAUACCAAAGCUCAACUUUGGUGCUGCAUUUGAAACUGCGAUUCUAGAGGAUCAACGGAGAGAGCGGAAUUCCACGAGUAGCGGUGAAAUGCGUAGAUACGUGGAGGAACACCGGUGGCGAAAGCGGCUUUCUAGUUUUUACCUGACGCUGAGGCGCGAGAGCAAGGGGAGCAAACAGG